rnacentral:sRNA from 1 species
GGAAAGCUUUCAGCUUUGAGCCAGUUAUUAAAACCCCUUUUGAUUUGUUAAAACACCUUGCGGUCUGGCAACUGCAAGUGUCAAACAAGAAAUCAAAAG